CUCUGUGAGCUGAUUCCACCAGUGACUGAACACAGACCAGCACCAUGGAGCUGGGGCUGCGCUGGGUUCUCCUUGUUGCUCUGUUGAAAGGUGUGCAGUGUGAGGUGCAGCUGGUGGAGUCUGGGGGAGGCUUGGUGCAGCCUGGGGGGUCCCUGAGACUCUCCUGUGCAGCCUCGGGAUUCACCUUCAGUAGUUACUACAUGGACUGGGUCCGCCAGGCUCCAGGGAAAGGGCUGGAGUGGGUUGCACGAAUUAAUACAGAUGGUGGUAGCACAUGGUACCCAGACUCUGUGAAGGGCCGGUUCACCAUCUCCAGAGACAACAGCAAGAACACACUUCACCUGCAGAUGAACAGCCUGAGAGUGGAGGACACGGCCGUCUAUUACUGUGCUAGAGACACAUAUAAAGCCUCCCUAGACCCAGCCAUAGCCCUCCUGGGCACCGACCCUGACAUCAGGAGCCAGGAUAUGAGGACAGCUGCCCGUCCAUGUCCAUUGACACGCUAA